CGGCAGCAGUGGGGAAUUUUGGACAAUGGGGGCAACCCUGAUCCAGCCAUUCCGCGUGAGUGAAGAAGGCCUUCGGGUUGUAAAGCUCUUUCAGCUGGAAAGAAACGGUGAGCUCUAACAUAGCUUGCUAAUGACGGUACCAGCAGAAGAAGCACCGGCUAACUACGUGCCAGCAGCCGCGGUAAUACGUAGGGUGCGAGCGUUAAUCGGAAUUACUGGGCGUAAAGCGUGCGCAGGCGGUUUUGUAAGACAGAUGUGAAAUCCCCGGGCUUAACCUGGGAAUGGCAUUUUGAACUGGCAGUCUAGAGUGUGUCAGAGGGGGGUGGAAUUCCACGUGUAGCAGUGAAAUGCGUAGAUAUGUGGAGGAACACCAAUGGCGAAGGCAGCCCCCUGGGAUAACACUGACGCUCAUGUACGAAAGCGUGGGUAGCAAACAGGAUUAGAUACCCCUGUAGUC
rnacentral:rRNA from 1 species